GACGUAGGGUGCAAGCGUUGUCCGGAAUUAUUGGGCGUAAAGAGCUCGUAGGCGGUCUGUCACGUCGGAUGUGAAAACUCGGGGCUCAACCCCGAGCCUGCAUCCGAUACUGGAUGGCUUGAGUUCGGGAGAGGGAUGCAGAAUUCCAGGUGUAGCGGUGAAAUGCGUAGAUAUCUGGAGGAAUACCGGUGGCGAAGGCGGCAUCCUGGACCGACAUUGACGCUGAUGAGCGAAAGCUAGGGGAGCAAACGGG
rnacentral:rRNA from 1 species